rnacentral:rRNA from 1 species
UACGGAAGGUCCGGGCGUUAUCCGGAUUUAUUGGGUUUAAAGGGAGCGUAGGCCGGAGGUUAAGCGUGUUGUGAAAUGUAGAUGCUCAACAUCUGCACUGCAGCGCGAACUGGUUUCCUUGAGUACGCACAAAGUGGGCGGAAUUCGUGGUGUAGCGGUGAAAUGCUUAGAUAUCACGAAGAACUCCGAUUGCGAAGGCAGCUCACUGGAGCGCAACUGACGCUGAAGCUCGAAAGUGCGGGUAUCGAACAGG